rnacentral:rRNA from 1 species
AGCUUUGCUGUCCGAGUUGUAGUCUCGAGAAGCGGUUUUCCGCGCUGAAGCAUGCAUGAGUCUGUUGGAAUACAGCGUCAUAGAGGGUGAGAACCCCGUUCGUGGCAUGCCUUUCAGUGCUUUGUGAUACGUUUUCGAUGAGUCGAGUUGUUUGGGAAUGCAGCUCUAAUUGGGUGGUAAAUUCCAUCUAAAGCUAAAUAUUGGUGGGAGACCGAUAGCAAACAAGUACCGUGAGGGAAAGAUGAAAAGCACUUUGGAAAGAGAGUUAAAAGUAACGUGGAAAAUUGGUCGAAAAGGGGAAAAGGAAUUUGGAANGUUCGGAACGUGCAGGGUAAACUUGCAGGCCAAACAAUCGGUUUCAUUAGCUGGAUAAAGGGUUAGAGGAAGGGUGGCCAGCUCCGGGCUGUGUUUAUUAGGCCUCUAAACUGAAUACAGGAAAGGUGAGACCGAGGGACCGCAGCGCAAGCUAGGAUGUGGUGGAACGGGUUUUAAACGACCCGUCUUGAA